UACGUAGGGUGCGAGCGUUGUCCGGAAUUAUUGGGCGUAAAGAGCUUGUAGGUGGUUUGUCGCGUCUGCUGUGAAAAUCCGAGGCUCAACCUCGGACUUGCAGUGGGUACGGGCAGGCUAGAGUGCGGUAGGGGAGACUGGAAUUCCCGGUGUAGCGGUGAAAUGCGCAGAUAUCGGGAAGAACACCCGUGGCGAAGGCGGUUCUCUGGGACGGUACUGACGCUGAGACGCGAAAGCGUGGGGAGCGAACAGG
rnacentral:rRNA from 1 species